UCUCCUUCAUCGCCAUAUAAGUAGCCCCCCUCGUCGUUCUUUAAACCCCUCUCUCCCUCCUCCCUUCGCGUCUCUUCCACGGCAUUGCAGGAUCAGUGGAUGAGACUCUUUUUUGCGCGUAUCUCGUCGAAUGGCGGCAUCGAGCCUUCUGCUCCAGAAGCAGCUUAAAGAUAUUUUGAAGAAUCCGGUGCGUUAUCGAGUGGAGCGUGACCAUUCGAUGAUCGCCUGACACGCUGUAGUGAGUGAUCCCCCCCCUUGAGUCGAUUAGUCAUGCUUCUUUCCUCUUUUAUUACCUUUCUGAUAUGAUGGAUUCUUUUGACGAAUUCUGUUCGUGAUCGGACGGGUUUAUCGCCACCGUUGGUAGCGAUGGGUUAGGAUCUCAUGCGACUUUUCGCACGGGGCUUGAUAACUUUACAUUUGUACGUCAUUGAUUAGAACUUGGGACUGGACAUUGAAGGACGAUUAGUGUUUUUGAUGCAUAGUAUCGAUAACAUCUCUGAUUGAUGCAGACCAUCUGUUUGUUGGUUUGCCUCAUCAUUUAUAGUGCUGCUUAAGCAUGGUUGUUUUUUAUGCAUAGUACCGAUAACAUCUUUAA